GUGCCAGCAGCCGCGGUAAUACGAAGGGGGCUAGCGUUGCUCGGAAUCACUGGGCGUAAAGGGCGCGUAGGCGGACGUUUAAGUCAGAGGUGAAAGCCCAGGGCUCAACCCUGGAAUGGCCUUUGAUACUGGACGUCUCGAGACCGGAAGAGGUUGGUGGAACUGCGAGUGUAGAGGUGAAAUUCGUAGAUAUUCGCAAGAACACCAGUGGCGAAGGCGGCCAACUGGUCCGGUUCUGACGCUGAGGCGCGAAAGCGUGGGGAGCAAACAGGAUUAGAUACCCCUGUAGUCC
rnacentral:rRNA from 1 species